rnacentral:rRNA from 1 species
AAGAGCUCAAAUUUGAAAGCUGGUACCUUCGGUAUCCGCGUUGUAACCUCGAGACACGUUUUCCGUGCGGCGCUAUGGACAAGUUCCUUGGAACAGGACAUCGUAGAGGGUGAAAAUCCCGUACUUGCCAUGGAUGUACCGUGCUUUGCGAUACGUGCUCUAAGAGUCGAGUUGUUUGGGAUUGCAGCUCAAAAUGGGUGGUAGACUCCAUCUAAAGCUAAAUAUCGGGGAGAGACCGAUAGCGAACAAGUACCGUGAGGGAAAGAUGAAAAGCACUUUGGAAAGAGAGUUAAAAGUACGUGAAAUUGUCGAAAGGGAAGCGCUUGAAGUCAGCCAUGCCGCUCAGGACUCAGCCUGGCUUUUGCUUGGUGUAUUUCCUGGGUAGCAAGUCAGCAUUGGUUUGGAUCGUCGGAGAAGCAUAGUUGGAAUGUGGCGCCCUCGGGCGUGUUAUAGCCUUCUAUUGGAUACGACGAUCUGGACCAAGGAACGCAGCGCGCCUUAUGGCGGGUCUUCGGACACCUUCGCGCUUAGGAUGCUGGCGUAAUGGCUUUAAGUGGCCCGUCU